UGAGCGUAUGUUGACCCAGUUCAGUCAACAGUAUUUACAAGUUUUCAGAAGCCUUUCCAUGACACAAUUCGAAAAAACAUUUUUGUGAGGGUCUGUUUAAGAGCAUUAAGAACAUAAGAGCCACAACAAGGUAGAGACAGCAGUGGGUCGGGGAGAAGUGAGUGCCAUGGGUGACUCCAUGGGGAGGAAACAAGACUUGAGGUGGUUGUGUUACGAAAGAUCUCUCUACAGCCUUACAGUAUUAUGUGAAACCCAGAUGUGCACAAGCCUCAAGGCUUUUCUCUCUCUCCAUUUUGAAUACAGGCAGAGCCGUAGAGGACGCUCACAGGUAACGGAUUCUGGGAGAACUCGACAUGCACUGCGUGGUGCCAUCCACAGCACCCAUCUCUCCAUGACAGCACUCUCUCUCCAUGACCCGUUAUGUUCUGCUCUAUGGGCUGUAUGUGGGACUGGAGUGGUGGCGCGUGGUCAGUCAGUCUGGUGCCCUGAACACUAAUUAGGCUCAUAAUAGAAAUCCAUGAGGAUUCGUCAUGCCUCUAAUUACCUUCUCAUCGUGUCUGCUGAAUCCAUAUCUCAACGCUGUCUCACAUGAACAAGCUACAAUAUCUCAAUAGUAGUUUGCACCGGUUAUUAAGACAGUGCCAUAUGUGACUAGAUCUGCUCAUCUUUGCCUCUGCGUGUCUUUAUCCAACCCUAUCUGCACGCUGCAAAUGAUCUGUCUCCAUUUUUUUUUUUCAUUUCUUUCCAGUGAUGUUCUGCAUUUGUUUGAACGCUUUAACUUUGAUGCUUUAUCGAGGUAUUUAAAGCUGUCUGUGCUGCCUGAGGAAGAUUUUAAAAAUGGAGUUACAUCUGCUUUGAUUUUAUGUCAGUUAUCAGAAUAGUGCACUUCUAAAAAUGUUUGAUGUUUAUUAAAUAAUGUGAAACUGC